AAGAGUGAACUAGCUAACUGAAAUCACAUGAGUCAUGCUAUAUGCUGGUGAUUGUGAUAACGUAAGGGAAAAAAAUGAUGUUACCUUACUAUUAGUGUUGUCCAAAACUGGUGCCAGAAGACUCGGUAAGGCCAGAGACGCAAACGUUAGUCGUCCUAAUCAGGCGUAAAGGGUUUGUAGGCUGCUUUAAAAGUUUUUAUAUUUAAAUAGCUCUGUAUGGCGGCUACGCCGCCGCCGCCGCGCCCGGCGCGAAGCGCCGGGGCGUGCGCGUAUUUUAAUUGGCGGGUUAGCCGCCAUUACAGUAAAGAAAAAAUGAAUUAAAGCUAGAAUCAAAUUGGGGAUAAACCAAAUAAUACUUAGAGUAGGGAUGAAAUCCGUAGAUACUAAGGGGAAUACUAAGGGUGAAAGCUUUUUAUCUACUAUUGAUUGACGCUGAGAAACGAAGGUGAGAAUAGGAAAUAGGAUUAGAUACCCAGAUACCUCUCACUGUCAACGAUGAAUGGUGGUUGUUAGUUUUAAUAAAAACUAGUAACGAUGUUAACACGAUAACCAUUCCGCCUUGCGAGUACGGUUGCAAAACUGAAACCAAAAAAAUUAGUCGGUCUCGAAGCAAACGAAGUGAAGCAUGUUAUUUAAUU
rnacentral:rRNA from 1 species